AGUCAAGUAAUUAAGUGCAUGUGGUGGAUGCCUUGGCAGUCAGAGGCGAUGAAAGACGUGAUAGCCUGCGAAAAGCUCCGGGGAGGCGGCAAAUAUCCUUUGAUCCGGAGAUGUCUGAAUGGGGGAACCCACCUACUUUAAGGUAGGUAUUGCAACAUGAAUACAUAGUGUUGCAAGGCGAACGAGGGGAAGUGAAACAUCUCAGUACCCUUAGGAAAAGAAAUCAAUUGAGAUUCCCUCAGUAGCGGCGAGCGAACGGGGAUCAGCCCAUUAAGUUAUGUGUGUUUUAGUGGAACGCUCUGGGAAGUGCGAACGUAGAGGGUGAUAUUCCCGUACACGAAAGGGCACACAUAAUGAUGACGAGUAGGGCGAGGCACGUGAAACCUUGUCUGAAUAUGGGGGGACCAUCCUCCAAGGCUAAAUACUCCUGACUGACCGAUAGUGAACCAGUACCGUGAGGGAAAGGCGAAAAGAACCCCUGUGAGGGGAGUGAAAUAGAUCCUGAAACCGCAUGCAUACAAGCAGUGGGAGCACCUUCGUGGUGUGACUGCGUACCUUUUGUAUAAUGGGUCAGCGACUUAUAUUCAGUAGCGAGGUUAACCGUAUAGGGGAGCCGUAGAGAAAUCGAGUCUUAAUAGGGCGUUUAGUUGCUGGGUAUAGACCCGAAACCAGGCGAUCUAUCCAUGAGCAGGUUGAAGGUUGGGUAACACUAACUGGAGGACCGAACCCACUGUCGUUGAAAAGCCAGGGGAUGACUUGUGGAUAGGGGUGAAAGGCUAAUCAAGCCUGGUGAUAGCUGGUUCUCCCCGAAAGCUAUUUAGGUAGCGCCUCGGACGAAUACCAUAGGGGGUAGAGCACUGUUUCGGCUAGGGGGUCAUCCCGACUUACCAAACCGAUGCAAACUCCGAAUACCUAUGAGUACUAUCCGGGAGACAGACUGCGGGUGCUAACGUCCGUAGUCAAGAGGAAAACAAUCCAGACCGCCUAGCUAAGGCCCCAAAAUCAUAGUUAAGUGGGAAACGAUGUGGGAAGGCAUAGACAGCUAGGAGGUUGGCUUAGAAGCAGCCACCCUUUAAAGAAAGCGUAAUAGCUCACUAGUCGAGUCGGCCUGCGCGGAAGAUGUAACGGGGCUAAAACUAUGUGCCGAAGCUGCGGAUGUAUACUUUGUAUACGUGGUAGGGGAGCGUUCUGUAAGCCGAUGAAGGUGUGUUGAGAAGCAUGCUGGAGGUAUCAGAAGUGCGAAUGCUGACGUGAGUAACGACAAAACGGGUGAAAAACCCGUUCGCCGAAAGACCAAGGGUUCCAGUCCAACGUUAAUCGGGGCUGGGUGAGUCGACCCCUAAGGCGAGGCCGAAAGGCGUAGUCGAUGGGAAAAUGGUUAAUAUUCCAUUACUUCUGUGUAAUGCGAUGAGAGGACGGAGAAGGCUAAAUCAGCCUGGCGUUGGUUGUCCAGGUGAAAGGAUGUAGGCAUGUAUCUUAGGCAAAUCCGGGGUACUCUAUGCUGAGAUCUGAUAGCAAGCUGUACUUGUACAGCGAAGUGGUUGAUGCCAUGCUUCCAGGAAAAGUCUCUAAGCUUCAGUUACACAGGAAUCGUACCCGAAACCGACACAGGUGGUCAGGUCGAGUAGACCAAGGCGCUUGAGAGAACUCUGCUGAAGGAACUAGGCAAAAUGGUACCGUAACUUCGGGAGAAGGUACGCUGUUGUUGGUGAUGGAACUCGCUUCCUGAGCUGACGACAGCCGCAGAAACCAGGCCGCUGCAACUGUUUAUUAAAAACAUAGCACUCUGCAAACACGAAAGUGGACGUAUAGGGUGUGAUGCCUGCCCGGUGCUGGAAGGUUAAUUGAUGGGGUUAGCGUAAGCGAAGCUCUUGAUCGAAGCCCCAGUAAACGGCGGCCGUAACUAUAACGGUCCUAAGGUAGCGAAAUUCCUUGUCGGGUAAGUUCCGACCUGCACGAAUGGCAUAAUGAUGGCGGCGCUGUCUCCAGCAGAGGCUCAGUGAAAUCGAAAUCGCUGUGAAGAUGCAGUGUACCCGCGGCUAGACGGAAAGACCCCGUGAACCUUUACUGCAGCUUGACACUGAACUUUGACCUUACUUGUGUAGGAUAGGUGGGAGGCUUUGAAGCUGGAACGCUAGUUCCAGUGGAGCCGUCCUUGAAAUACCACCCUGGUAAUGUUGAGGUUCUAACUCUGUCCCGUGAUCCGGGACGAGGACCGUGUCUGGUGGGUAGUUUGACUGGGGCGGUCUCCUCCUAAAGAGUAACGGAGGAGUACGAAGGUGCGCUCAGCGUGGUCGGAAAUCACGCGUAGAGUAUAAAGGCAAAAGCGCGCUUAACUGCGAGACCCACAAGUCGAGCAGGUACGAAAGUAGGUCUUAGUGAUCCGGUGGUUCUGUAUGGAAGGGCCAUCGCUCAACGGAUAAAAGGUACUCUGGGGAUAACAGGCUGAUACCGCCCAAGAGUUCAUAUCGACGGCGGUGUUUGGCACCUCGAUGUCGGCUCAUCUCAUCCUGGGGCUGAAGCAGGUCCCAAGGGUAUGGCUGUUCGCCAUUUAAAGAGGUACGCGAGCUGGGUUUAGAACGUCGUGAGACAGUUCGGUCCCUAUCUACCGUGGGCGCUGGAAAUUUGAGAGGAUCUGCUCCUAGUACGAGAGGACCAGAGUGGACGAACCUCUGGUGUACCGGUUGUGACGCCAGUCGCAUCGCCGGGUAGCUAUGUUCGGAAGGGAUAACCGCUGAAAGCAUCUAAGCGGGAAGCCUACCUCAAGAUAAGAUUUCCCUAGGACUUUAUGUCCUCUAAAGAGCCGUUCGAGACUAGGACGUUGAUAGGUUGGAUGUGGAAGCAUAGUGAUAUGUGAAGCUGACCAAUACUAAUUGCUCGUGAGGCUUGACUAUACAACACCC
rnacentral:rRNA from 1 species